rnacentral:lncRNA from 1 species
GAGGGGAGAGGGGGGGAGAGGAGGGGGGGGAGAGGAGGGAGAGGAGGGGAGGGGAGAGGAGAGGAGGGAGAGGAAUGGCAUCUAUCAGAAUAUAAGAUGUCGACAUAAUAAGUUAGUAGGUGCUGUUUCUUGGUACAGCUGCUGUGAACUGUAUAUCCUCACAGCAAGACAAUGGUGCUUUUUAUUUGAAAAUGGAUGUAUAGAGGAUUUUGGAGCAAAAAUGUCUAUUUUGUUUUGUUGUAGCAGAUUAUUGGAUGAUUAGAAACUAAGUGUGCUGAGGCAGAGUAGAGCUGAGGUGAAGUGGCUUUGAAUAUUAUAAUGUCCUCAUCAGAGAGGACUGUGUCUGUGUUGAAGGACUGUGGAUAUUAUAAUGUCCUCAUCAGAGAUGACUGUGUCUGUGUUGAAGGACUGAUCUAGGGUCAGGCUGGGUAGGUAGGUAGGUAGGUAGGUAGGUAGGUAGGUCAAUGAGGUGCUUACUACAUGGACAUGACUCCAUAUACUUGAAUAGAAGGUGUUCUUCAGAGCCUGGGUGGUCUCAGUAGUACUGAAUAGAAGGUGUUCUUCAGAGCCUGGGUUAUCUCAGUAAUACUGAAUAGAAGGUGUUCUUCAGAGCCUGGGUUAUCUCAGUAGUACUGAAUAGAAGGUGUUCUUCAGAGCCUGGGUGGUCUCAGUAAUACUGAAUAGAAGGUGUUCUUCAGAGCCUGGGUUGUCUCAGUAAUACUGAAUAGAAGGUGUUCUUCAGAGCCUGGGUUGUCUCAGUAAUACUGAAUAGAAG